GUCACACGAAUUGCCGUGUGUUUACGGAAGUAAAGAUUACUGCAGUGUGUUCUCCGCGCGUUUGUGGCGAUUUCAAGGAUUUCGAGCAAAGGGAGUCAAUAUUUUCUUAACCAAAUGAUCCUGCGUAGCAGAUGCAGAAGAAAGAACAGUUUGUGGACGUCUGUUCCAGGAAUGGUGGAACAUUGCUUCACUGAGACUUUUUAAACAUACUUUUCGGAUGACAAGAAGAGCUUUUGCCUACAUCGCAAAGCUGCUGAGUUGGACUCGAUGCAAGCAGUUGAAGUUGCAACAUACGUACUCUGACUAAUCUAUGUGCAUCACACUGAAGGCGGCUGUCCAAAGUUCACUUCAGGAUAUUGCGCAACCCUUCAGGGCUUACAUGAAAAUCAAAAAAGACUUGAACGCCACACACACACCAACGCUAUUCUUGGACAAGGAGAAAUCAUGGAGCUGAACAUUUGGAGCCUCCUCAUUGUCCACUUGGUUUUUUCCACCAUCAAAGCCAAUCCCAGCAUACCCGAGAUUGCCAAAUACUUUGGCACAAAAGGCCGGUAUGAGGAAGUGAAUCCACAUCUUCUGGAGGACAUCCUGGCUGUCAACACCUCCAUCCUGCGCCCUCCGUCUCCGACAUGUCGUCCAGUUCACCUCACAGCCAUCAUACGACACGGCACCAGGUACCCGACUGGCAUCAUCUUCAAGCAGAUGCAGAAGCUGUACCAGGCAGUGAAAAGGGCCUCCUACGGAAAGGAGAGCUGGGUGCGGGAGAUCCAGACCCAGUGGCAGAUGUGGUACACGGACGACAUGGACGGACGACUGGCCCGGAAAGGUGUGGAUGACCAUAAGCAUUUGGCAGUCAGGCUGUCCAAGCUGUUCCCCUCCUUGCUUUCAGAGGAGAACCUCAGGGGAGGAGUCAUUGCCUUUAUAAGCAGCUCCAAGCACAGGUGCAUCAACAGCACUCUGGCCUUCACGGAGGGCCUCACCGAGCUGUGGAAUAUUCAAGAUCAGAAGUUCCACCUGGACGUGAACGACGCACUCAUGAAGUAUUUUGAGCACUGCAGCAAGUUUGUGAAGGAGGUGGUGAGGAACCCGUUAGCGCUGACGGAGGUGGCCAAGUUCAUGGAGGGACCAGAGAUGAGGAAGGUCCGGGAGAAGAUAGCAGACCAACUCAGACUCCCUUAUGAGGACAUCACGGCUGAGAUGGCCGACGCUGCCUUGAAUCUGUGCGCCUACGAGCUUGCCAUCAAGACCCUUAACUCCCCCUGGUGUCUGUUCUUUGACCAGCAUGACGCUCAGGUUGUGGAGUACGCCAAUGACCUGCGGCAGUUCUGGAAGAGAGGCUAUGGUUACGAUAUUAACAGAAAGUCCAGCUGUAUUCUUUUCCAUGACGUGUUCAGUCGUCUGGACAAAGCGGCCGAUGAGAUCAAGUACGGCCAGCGUGUGAGUGAAGUGGCGACCAUCCAGGUGGGCCACGGUGAGACCCUCCUGCCGCUCUACACCCUACUGGGCUUCUUUCAGGACCAUGACGCCCCAACGUCAUCAAACUACGCCAGCCAAAUUGGACGCACUUUCCGCACCAGCGACGUUCUACCUUACGCCGCCAACCUGCUGCUGGCACUGUACGACUGCGGCCAAGGUGAUCUGCGGUUGCAGCCGCUGGUUAAUGAGAAACCCGUGGCCUUCCCGGGAUUGGCUGAGCAGCCGGAUUCCAUGCCGCUCUACCAGGAUGUCAAAGAACACUACAAGGACCUCAUCCAAGGCUGCGACUUUGAGACCGAGUGCGAGCUGUUCGAUAGGACCCAUGUCAUGUAGAGCUUCAAAGAAACAUAAUUACUCUGUAUGCUUUAUAUUCAUGGACCUGGAGAUAAGCUUCUUAUCUCCUUCGCUCCACUGGGGUAUCUGGCAUCAGUUUUCUCCAAACCGCACCAACAAGUUUGUUUUUCUGUUGUCUUCCGCAACCAUUGAAAAUUGAACCAAUGAUAACAAACAGGUGAAUUCCUGGGUGUUCACCUUAACAACAAACUGGACUGGUCCGUCAACACCCACGCCCUCUACAAGAAGGGCCAGAGUCGCCUCCACCUCCUGAGGAGACUGAGGUCCUUUGGUGUGUGCAGGACUCUCUUACGGACCUUUUAUGACUCUCUGGUGGCCUCAGCCAUCUUCUAUGCUGUGGCCUGCUGCAGAGGGGGCAGCACGGACAGGGACAGGAGCAGGAUCAAUAGACUGAUCAGGAGAGCGAGCUCUGUCCUGGACGGUCCUCUGGACUCCGUGGAGGAAGUGGGGGAGAGAAGGAUGUUGGCUAAGCUGACAUCCAUCAUGAACAACGCCUCUCACCCGCUACAUGACACUGUGGGUUCCCUUAGCAGCUCCUUCAGCAGCAGACUGUUACACCCACGGUGUAAGAAGGAGAGGUUCCGCAGGUCCUUCAUACCGACCGCUGUCAGGCUCUACAACACCUGCACCACCUGAACCAUGUUGUAGUCACUAUGUAUUCUUUACUUGCGUAUCUUGCUUGCUGCUGUAACAAGUG